AUUGAACGCUGGCGGCAGGCUUAACACAUGCAAGUCGAGCGGAGAGAGGUAGCUUGCUACUGAUCUUAGCGGCGGACGGGUGAGUAAUGCUUAGGAAUCUGCCUAUUAGUGGGGGACAACAUUUCGAAAGGAAUGCUAAUACCGCAUACGUCCUACGGGAGAAAGCAGGGGAUCUUCGGAACUUGCGCUAAUAGAUGAGCCUAAGUCGGGUUAGCUAGUUGGUGGGGUAAAGGCCUACCAAGGCGACGAUCUGUAGCGGGUCUGAGAUGAUGAUCCGCCACACUGGGACUGAGACACGGCCCAGACUCCUACGGGAGGCAGCAGUGGGGAAUAUUGGACAAUGGGCGCAAGCCUGAUCCAGCCAUGCCGCGUGUGUGAAGAAGGCCUUAUGGUUGUAAAGCACUUUAAGCGAGGAGGAGGCUACUUUAGUUAAUACCUAGAGAUAGUGGACGUUACUCGCAGAAUAAGCACCGGCUAACUCUGUGCCAGCCGCCGCAGUAA
rnacentral:rRNA from 1 species